rnacentral:rRNA from 1 species
CUGGCUCAGGAUGAACGCUGGCGGCGUAGCCUAACACAUGCAAGUCGAGCGAUCUCUCGGAGAGAGCGGCGGACGGGUGAGUAACGCGUGGGUAACCUGCCCUGUACACACGGAUAACAUACCGAAAGGUAUACUAAUACGGGAUAACAUAUGAAAGUCGCAUGGCUUUUGUAUCAAAGCUCCGGCGGUACAGGAUGGACCCGCGUCUGAUUAGCUAGUUGGUAAGGUAAUGGCUUACCAAGGCAACGAUCAGUAGCCGACCUGAGAGGGUGAUCGGCCACACUGGAACUGAGACACGGUCCAGACUCCUACGGGAGGCAGCAGUGGGGAAUAUUGCACAAUGGGCGAAAGCCUGAUGCAGCAACGCCGCGUGAGCGAUGAAGGCCUUCGGGUCGUAAAGCUCUGUCCUCAAGGAAGAUAAUGACGGUACUUGAGGAGGAAGCCCCGGCUAACUACGUGCCAGCAGCUGC